AUGCUUCUGCCAGCUCUUCACAGCCAUGGCUGCGCCCCAGGAGCUGAGGCUUAGCGUCCGCAUCCUUCUCCUGCCCCCCUCGGAGGAGCAUCUACAGAAACCACUUCUCUGCACACCCAGCCGCUUUUAGGGGAGCUCACUGGAGUUGGGGGUGCUGAAUGACUGCUGGAGAACUUGGACUUCUCUCGGAAGAUGGAUGGGCUUCCUGCUCCUCACCCUUCAAGGAUCUGUGCCUGGGAAUAGUGGCCAUGGGAGGAGUGUCUGGCCUGGAGCAUAUACUGCAGCUGGCCUUGUGCUGGGAGUAUAGAUUGUUGGCCUGUUCCUUCCUACUCCUGCUUCUACAAAAGGAAUUGUACACAUAAGCACUAACAUCUGGCCCUACCCUUAGGGCCUAAGCUUGUGGGAAAGAUAAGAAGAUGCCAGGAGACCAACAGUGCUUUAAUGACCUCCUUCAGCCUCGGCCUUCUCAUCUGUGGAAUGAUAGGAUUAGAUUAAUGGCUCUGGGUCUCCUCUGCCUCUGCCUCUCUGCAACCUUGUCAGUCUAUCCCAGAACCUUUGUCCAGAGGAUCUGGGGGCUGCCGGUGGGAAAACCAGGGAACAAAUGGGUCAAAGCUGCUUCCCCAGGCACUGAGCGUCACUGGCACCUGGGGAAUGAGCCUGAAGAUUGGUGGGAUAGAUUUGUCUUUGUAUAGAAUCAAUCACUUGGCUGCC